UGCCCAGUUCUUUCUCUAAUUUCUUGAGGAAGUGCCACUUUAUAGUUCUAUGUUUGAGGCAAAGUCUGAAAAGGUUCAGUAUACUGUGCGGGCUACUUCUCUUUAAGUCUGUAGUGUUCCUCUCACUCAUGAGUGCGUGUGUGUGUGUGUGUGUGUGUGUGUGUGUGUGUGUGUGUGUGUGUUUAGUACUAAUAUGGAGGUCAGAGGACAGGUCCUCUUCUUCCUGUGGGUCUCUGGGAUCAAACUCACAUUCUGCCAAGCGCCUUUACUUAGCUAUUAUUAUUAUUAUUAUUAUUAUUAUUAUUAUUAGUCACGUGUUGGUCUGUGUGUCUGCAUGUGGGCCUGUGCCCAUGAAUGCAGAUGCCGAGGGAGCUGGAGGAUGGGGGCAGCGAUGGCAGGAGGUUGUGAGUGCCUGACGCUGAGCCACCAAACUCACUGUUGCUCCAUCUCCUGCUUCCUAUUUUUGUUUUUAAAACGAUACCUCUGUCUUUUUCCCCCACAGAAGGACAGGAUUAAGCUAAUCACUGGUGAGGAGAGCGCAGGAGGGUUAGGGUCCAGACACAAGUGCCCGUCGCUCUUGGUGUCCUCCAUUCUGCUGUCCCCUCCCUCCCCGUGGCAGUGUCCUCUCUUUAGCCAGGUGUUUCAGAUGUGAAGGAAAAAAAGUUUUUGACGCAAGACACAUAAAACAAGCAAGAUGAGUAAGUAUAGGUGUGUGGUAGAGCAGGUAUCCACAGAUCUGUCCUGGGGCCAUUUUCGCCGAGAACUUCAGUUGCUUCACUCCACCAGCCUGUUGGAAGGACAUCCUGACCACAGCAGCCUCUGGACUCCCGGCCAUCUGAAGUCACUCUUGGCUUGGGCCUUAAGUGUGCAGAGCCCUUCCUCCCCCUCUUUCCAUAGCCCUGGGUCUCUGGUGAAACAGCUGAGUUUUUCCACCCUGGGGCUGAGGUGCCCCUUUCAGGAACUCCGCGGGCCCCUGGGGUGAGUUGGCAGGGCUCGUGGGGUGUGACUAGAUACCCACUGGAUUGGAACUUCCCAGCUUCCUCCCAGAAAACCUGGAGACAAGGCCUUGCUUGACCAUUUAAUUUAUAAUGACCCUUAACCUGUGAUGUCACCAAGCUGCUUUGACUCAAGUCCAGGAAUGUGCACGGGGGAUGCAGAUUUGUUUUUAGCACCGAGGACUAGAACUCUUCGGGGAGAUGUUCGGGGUACCCAGAGACACUUGUACUGUGUUGUGGUUAGUGUUCUAUUUUAUUUUUUUUAAGAUGCUUAUAACUGAAGAUAUCACACUGGUCGGUACUAGACCCCUGAUGAGUACUUGAUCUGAGGGUGUCGUGGGCGUACUGCCUUUUUUUUUUUUUUUUAAACCUCCAGUAUUAUUAUAUGCAUUGUGUGUGUAGUGGGGGUGGGGACUCCAGGGGACCUGAACAUCCAUUAUGGCUGUGCUUGCAAUUUGUGUUUUGUUUUGUGUUCCUGUGGCUAUGCACUUUGUAAAAACACUGAUGCCACUACACCCUGCAAGUGUGAAAUAAAGAUUUCUCUCUUCAUG
rnacentral:lncRNA from 1 species